UACGUAGGGGGCGAGCGUUGUCCGGAUUUAUUGGGCGUAAAAGGCUUGUAGGUGGCCACGUCAAGUCGGAUGUGAAAUCUCCCGGCUCAACUGGGAGGGGUCAUUCGAUACUGGCGGGCUCGAGGCCGGUAGGGGGUAGCGGAAUUCCCGGUGUAGUGGUGGAAUGCGCAGAUAUCAGGAAGAACACCAAUGGCGAAGGCAGCUCUCUGGGACGGUACUGACACUGAGACGCGAAAGCGUGGGGAGCGAACAGG
rnacentral:rRNA from 1 species